GCGCCGGCUGGCUGGCGGUGGGCCUACUGGGAGUGCAGAGGAUUUGCAGCUUGGUUGCAGAUGGAGCUGCCGCUGUCCCCAGAGCGGGAGACCGCACUGUUGUCCGGCUGGGCACUUGGGAAGCUGGGCUUGCUUGGAGAACUGUUGGGGCGAGCGGGAGUUAGACAAGGCUGUCCCACGCUGCAUACAGCUGGUUAGCAGAGAACAAGAGGGAGUCUUGAGGGGUGUCUGCGGGGCUCGGCGGGGGCGGUGGCCCCUACUGGGUUGGCGUGGUGGCUUUGGUCCUAUGGAGUUCCCCGCUUCAGCCGAGGGUUUUGUUGUUUUGUUUUGCUUUUUUGUUUUUGUCUUUUUUUUUUUCUCUUUUAAGCCAUUUUUUUCAUGUGUUUUUUUCGAGACGAACGCAGCCAAGGCAAUGCAACUUAACGUUUGUCGGUGACGUACGUGUUGCCGGGGGUCGGACUGGAAAGCGCUUUAAUUCUGCUGGUGCUUUUAUCUGAUGUGAGAAUGAAUGCCGCUCUCGACGGGUUUACACAAUAGCCAGAAGCGUUGUCUUCCUAUUUCAAAAGAGAAGAGCAACGUGGCGCCCCAGCCUUGCAGGGCUCCGGCGCUACCUACCUCCCACCGUGUGCCUCGCCUCGCUUAGGAGUUGGCUGAGUGCAGCAGCCACCUUUAUCAACCCGUGAUCCAUUAGGUCAACUGGUGGAGAUGUAGUUUGCAAAACUUUCCAGGAACUAGCUUUAUUAAGUAUAACACGAGGCUAUUUGAUAAUAUUUUUCUUGGACUAUUCUUAAAGGGAUGAACUAAUUGAAAGUCUUUCUCUCAACCACUCCUCACCCCCAAAAAUUUACAGUGCUUUCUCAAAUGCCUAAGAAGGAUUUUCACGGAUAUAUAAUAAUAGUAUAAACAGGUAUCCAAGACUUUUUACUAGUAAACUAAAGUAUAAAUUAAAGAUCGAAUUAGUUUAUUUUAUUGUAUUUUUAUUUUUGUUUUUCGAGACAGGGUUUCUCUAUAGCUUUGCGCCUUUCCUGGAACUCACUUUGUAGUCCAGGCUGGCCUCGAACUCACAGAGAUCUGCCUGCCUCGCAUGCGCCACCACCGCCCGGCUUAGUUUUUUAUCCUAAGUAGCAAAAGAUGGUAACAAAGUUAUUAGUUACUUGGGAUUACUGGGGGAGGGGGGAAUUCCCCAAUCUUGUAAAAUUAAAAAACUAUUGUUGUCGAAAGACAAAGUGACCUUUCCCUAUUAUCAUUACUGAAAACACUGCUGAAAUUUGCUUUUCUCUUACAAGAGCAUGGGUUCACAUGUCUCCAUGAAAUUUGUUAAGCUGUGUGAUGAGGCUGGAAGAGAACCUGGAAGAAGAACUGGAGUUACAGGCAGUUGUGAUCCACUGCAUGGGUGACGGGAACUGAGCCCUGGUCCUCUAUAAAAACCAAUAAACGUUCCUAACCACUGA